GAUGAACGCUAGCGGCAGGCUUAAUACAUGCAAGUCGUGGGGCAGCAUGAAGUAGCAAUACUUUGAUGGCGACCGGCAAACGGGUGCGGAACACGUACACAACCUUCCUUUUAGUGGGGAAUAGCCCAGAGAAAUUUGGAUUAAUACCCCGUAACAUAGCGAUGAGGCAUCUCAUUGCUAUUAUAGCUUCGGCGCUAGAUGAUGGGUGUGCGUAUGAUUAGAUAGUUGGCGAGGUAACGGCUCACCAAGUCUACGAUCAUUAGCUGAUGUGAGAGCAUGAUCAGCCACACGGGCACUGAGACACGGGCCCGACUCCUACGGGAGGCAGCAGUAAGGAAUAUUGGUCAAUGGACGAAAGUCUGAACCAGCCAUGCCGCGUGAAGGAUUAAGGUCCUCUGGAUUGUAAACUUCUUUUAUAUGGGACGAAAAAAGGUCUUUCUAGAUCACUUGACGGUACCAUAUGAAUAUGCACCGGCUAACUCCGUGCCAGCAGCCGCCGCGGUAA
rnacentral:rRNA from 1 species